rnacentral:lncRNA from 1 species
CCUCGAUUCCUUCCCAAGAGCUGCUAUCACUGGGAGAAAAAUGUACAUCUUUAGGCCCAGCCCACUGGGUGCCUGCAUUUUUCCAGCAGCCCUCGAGUCCUGUGGUGUUGCUAGUUAUUUUAAUUGAGUGACACACAAGGUGGGUAUGAAUGAAUUUUACAGCCAAUUAGGGCUAAGCAUGGAUUGUACAGGAAAGAGAGUCUUUUUAGUGCAAAUUUAUGGUCCACUCAAGACACAUAACUUAUGACAGGACUAGUAACCGCAGCUGAGCAGGCUUCUUUCCGGAGCCUCUUGUCCUCUAAACGGGUUUUUCUGGACACUUGCAGUAGGUAAGGAGGCUGUCGACUAUGGAACUGAGCGAAGACAGGUUCGGGGCUCACCCUUACCGAUCCGCUCCGCAAACCUCGGGAAUCCCUCUGCCUCUCUGUUCUGUUGUUCUUACCUAAACAAUAAGCUAUCGGCCUCAGCUGUCUCCGGGAAACUUUGAACUCUAAGAGGGCAGGUUUUACUUGUUCUCCUCGAAAUGCAUUUCAGACUGGGAGUGGAGUGUGGGAGCGGGAACAUUAAGUUAGAGCAGGCUGCAAACCCUCCACCUGGAAAUGUGUCUGCACUGCUGUCACCAGCCUGUCUGGGUCUCGGCUCUGUCCUUCCCUUGGUGUGUCCUGGGGUAGGCGUUGAAUGAGAAAACCAUGGUUGCAGAGGCAACACAUCCUUUCCUUGAACAGUGUGCACUUGAGGAACGAAUUAAGACCCGUAAACAAGGAUGAAAGCCCCCGCCCCGCAGACUUCAGCUCCUCCUCCAUGAAGGACGCCGCCUGGGAGGUGAGUCCAGGCCGGGCCAGGGAGGGCCUCCUGUGGGAAGGUGCAUUUUCACCUUACAGCCGGGAAGUAGACAGCUGCGUCACAGUUUCACUCAUGCCGGUCUCUUCCUGUGCACAUUCAAUGUUAACAUUAUUCUGGCAAAAGCCUUGCUGCAGAUAGUCUCUCCGGUCCCUCCUACAUCUCUUUCCAGAAGACAGUUUAAAAGGACACAUUUCAUCACCUCUCAGAAGGGGUUAACAUCACAGAAUUCCAAGUCUGAGGGUGGAGCCCUGAUCCUGAGAAGGUUUUGUUGAGUUCGGGACAGUAUUUCUUUACCCAUCCUUCAUGAAGAUAAAAAAUGAGGCAAAAUAGACACUAAAAUGGUCUCUGACAUCUCCUCAUGCCACCAGACAAGGAGUAACCAUGGUAACAAGAAGCCUAGAAAAAUUGGGGAAUGAGGAAGACCAGGAAUGAGAGCUCCCCUCAGCCCUGGGGGGACCUGAGUGUCCACAGCUGAGCCUUCUCUGCUUCCCUUUUCUCUUCUGGAUUCUGAUGGAGGAUAUUUUCAUCUUCCUCCCAAAAUCAUCAGAAAGCAUAAGGACAUAUAUAAACCGCUUUGCAAAAAGAGAGUGUAUGGAAUAAAAGAGAAAAUGAAGAAGAGGAGAAAGGCUGGAGUGCAAUGGUGUGAUCUCAGCUCACUGCAGCCUCAACCUCCCUGGCUCAGGUGAUUCUCCCACCUCAGCUUCCUGAUUAACUGGGAUUACAGGAGCUGGGAGAUGGGAACAUCACUAGACCACGAGCCGGAAUUGCUGCAGGAGGAUUCCCACACUCUGGGCCUCCGUGGGCACCACGAGGACUGGACGUGCGACCCCAGCUCUCUGGGUCUCAGUUUCGUCUCCUGCAGAGCAUCUGAGCUAGACCGUCUCUAAAAUUUCAUCAAGCUCCUGUAUUCCAUUCUAUUCUGAGAUGCCCAAUUCUUAUGCCUGCUAAAAACCACAGUGAGAAAUAAUAACCUAUGUCCACAUUUUUGUUUCCUAGGAGAAAUAUCAACAUGCGUCUGCCAAAUAAAAUAUUGUAUUAAAUGAGUUAUUUCAAAAAGUAUUCUUUGACCACCUCAACAUGUGUUAAA